rnacentral:rRNA from 1 species
AACGAACGCUGGCGGCAGGCUUAACACAUGCAAGUCGAACGCCCCGCAAGGGGAGUGGCAGACGGGUGAGUAACGCGUGGGAAUCUACCCAGAUCUACGGAACAACAGUUGGAAACGACUGCUAAUACCGUAUACGCCCUACGGGGGAAAGAUUUAUCGGAUUUGGAUGAGCCCGCGUAAGAUUAGCUAGUUGGUGGGGUAAUGGCCUACCAAGGCGACGAUCUUUAGCUGGUCUGAGAGGAUGAUCAGCCACACUGGGACUGAGACACGGCCCAGACUCCUACGGGAGGCAGCAGUGGGGAAUAUUGGACAAUGGGCGCAAGCCUGAUCCAGCCAUGCCGCGUGAGUGAUGAAGGCCUUAGGGUUGUAAGGCUCUUUCACCGAUGAAGAUAAUGACGGUAGUCGGAGAAGAAGCCCCGGCUAACUUCGUGCCAGCCGCCGCAGUAAGAC